rnacentral:rRNA from 1 species
GAUGAACGCUCGCGAUAGGCUUAACACAUGCAAGUCGAGGGGCAGCAUGGUCUUAGCUUGCUAAGACUGAUGGCGACCGGCGCACGGGUGCGUAACGCGUAUGCAACUUGCCUCACAGAGGGGGAUAACCCGUCGAAAGACGGACUAAUACCGCGUACACUUGGGAUAGGGCAUCCUGACCCAAGGAAAUGAAAUUCGCUGUGAGAUAGGCAUGCGUCCCAUUAGCUAGUUGGUGAGGUAACGGCUCACCAAGGCGACGAUGGGUAGGGGAACUGAGAGGUUGAACCCCCACACUGGUACUGAGACACGGACCAGACUCCUACGGGAGGCAGCAGUGAGGAAUAUUGGUCAAUGGGCGAGAGCCUGAACCAGCCAAGUCGCGUGAAGGAUGACUGUCUUAUGGAUUGUAAACUUCUUUUAGACGGGAAUAACAAGAGCCACGUGUGGCUCCCUGCAUGUACCGUAUGAAUAAGCAUCGGCUAACUCCGUG